ACCCAUGGUAGGGCUGAGCCGCGGCCCCCCGGGCCUGAAACCUAGCGCAGCCAGUGUGGGCGGCUGUGCGCCUCCGCGGGGCGCGGGCGCGAGGCUCUCCUGGGCAUCCUGCCGGCAGCCCCUCCAGCAGGUUCUGAGUCUGAGACCUUGGACCCCGCGGGGCCAGAGCGGCUGCCGGCCUGCCCUGGUCAGCCGGACUCGCAGGAGCGCCCUGGGAGAAGCCUGCUCUGCAGGCUGGGUGUGCGUCCCAGAGGGCGUCCAGGGCCCCUCCGGAGGGGGACCGGCCCGCGGACCGCAGGCUGCCGAGGAAGGGGGCCGGUCCGUGCGAGGUGAGGCGUCAGUGGGGGAAAACCGGGGCGCCCUCCUGCAUGGAGCGCGUUCCCGUCUCUGGAAAGGAAGUGGCAGCAAGUGUGUGGGUUAUGUGCUAGAAGCCCCGGCAGUUUCCAAAAACAGAAGUGUUAGCAAUGACAAAUGCAGUGGCAUCAACACAUUUGACCCUUGAUUGCAGGAGGAGCUCGUGAGCGAGGCCCCUCGUGCAGGAGGAAAGCGAAUCGCGGAGCAGUUCUAGAAGGCUGUGCAGAGAGGUGAGAAGUGGAAGUUCCAGAUCCUGCAGAAGAAGCGGGUAUCCCGCUCGGUGUCUGCUGUGGGCGUCAGAAGGAAAGAAGCUCAUGCUCAGGACACAAGUACCCGGAUUUUGCACCGUGUGGAUGUGAGUUCAGGAUCUGACUGCAGUGGCUCAGGUGUCUGUGGAGGCGGGCGUUGGAUCCCCCCAGCCCAGUGCAGAAACUUACAGGAUCUGGUGUUGCGGCAGCUGCCUGGUACCAUCGAGAGAAUGACGGGCUAACAUUGGGCUGCGACUCCACCGAACCGGAAAGUGAUGCCCGAAGAUACUGGAGAAGCACAUCAAGGAAUGAAUGGAAGCAAACGUUUUCCGCUGACCUGAUGGACUGAGAGCGAAAGAAGGCGAGUUCCCAGUGAGGGUUUCCCGCUCGUGAGAGGAGCACGAGGUGAUGUCGUGGAGAGAGUGAGAUGCGACAGGGAGGGAGACAUGGCCCCGAAGCUGUGGGACGUGCCGCAGACACACUCGCGCCCACACAGACACGCCUGCACACGUGCCCGAGGCGUGCACACGCGCACACACACACACUCGUGUGUACGAGUGCUCAGCAUCCAGGACACGAUGCCUGGAACCGAGUCCCCUCUGAAGCGGGAGGGGAAGGCGUGCUUGUUCCGAAAGAGCAGCGUGGGAGUGACCGGCGCCAAUCAGAUCGGAGACCUUCCCACGUACUUGGUCAAAUUAAACGAAACCAGAGUCUUCAGCUUUACUGAGAUGCAAUUGGUGGAAAUUGUACAUGCGGAAGAGGUACCAGUGGAUUCUUUAUUGUUUUCGGUUUAGGGCCGCACAUGAGUCACUUGGAGGUUCCCAGGCUAGGGGUGGAAUCGGGGUGCAGCUGCCAGCCUGGGCCACAGCCACAACCCCUAAGGAUCUGGGACACAUGUGUGACCCCCAGCACAGCUCACAGCAACGCGGGACCCUUAACCCACUGAGGGAGGCCAGGGAUGGAACACGAAGCCUCAUAGAUGCUCGUCAGGUUGGUUUCCGUUGAUCCCUGAUGGGAACUUCACCACGUGACACUUUGAUUCAUUUUUCAGUGUGAAAUAGUCACCACAGUCACAUAUUUGAUGACUCUGUGUGUGUGUGUGUGUGUGUGUGUGUGUGUGUGUGUGUAUGUGAGUGUGAGUGAUGUUUUCUGACCCAUUCAUCUGCCGACAGCCGUCGAGGUGGUUUCCGUGGCUCGGCUCCGGCUGUCGUGAGGGAUGCAGCAGUGGACAGGGACGUGCAGGUGUCUCUCUGUGACGCUGAUGUUACCUGCUGGGGACAUAGAUCAAGACGGGAAAUAGCUGCAUGUGGCCGGUCUGUCUCUCUCCUUCUCUUUGACAGAUGUUUGCGUUCCCACCAACCAUGCCCAAGGCCCUCUUUUCUGCACAUGUUUGUCAGCCUUGCUGCCCUGGGUCUUUUCCCACCAGCUGUUGUAACAGGUGUGAGGGGGUCUCUCCCCUAGUGUGUGUUUCAUGAUUUGCCCCGAGAGGAAGGAGGCCCCCAUUUAACACCUGUAUUUAUAUAUGCAUGGCAACUGCAGUUUGAGGUGGGAUCUCCAUUCCCAGAGCAGGGAUUGAACCUGGGGUCAGUGGGGAGAGCGCCGGGUCCUAAGCCCUAGACCGUCAGGGAACUCCCUCCCUCCCUGUGGUUUUGACCAGGGUUUCCCUGCUGGUCGGUGAGGGGCCGCAGCUUUUCAGGGACUGUUUGGCCAUUUGGAUCUUCUUUUGAGAAAUAUCUCUUCGGGUGUUUUGCCCCAUGAACACCAGCUUGCUACUGCUUUGCAUGCAGUUGUGUGUGCUCCCCCUGUGUCUGGGGAGGUGACAGCUUGUCAGAGAGACGGUUUGCAGGGAUCUUCUUGCUUCUGCUCCUUCAUGCUGUUGCCUGUUUCUUUUGUGUGCAGUCGCUUUCAUUUGACGGGCUCUUCCUUGUCUCUUCACGUAUUUGUUGCUUGUGCUUUUGGGGUCAUAACCGAAGAGCCGUGUCCAAAUGUGUGUCAGGAAGCUUUGCCAGGAGCGGGUUGAGGAUCCGGCGGUGUCUGUGCAGCUGCUCAAGCCAUUGCUAUGGCGCAGCAGGUUCCAUCCCUGGCUGGGGAACGUCCACGUGUCAUGGGUGUCGCAAAAAAACAAACAAACAAACAAACAAGCCAGGGACGAAGAAGCAGCUUUUCCAGUGUUUUGUUCUUGCACUUUUAUGGUGUCAGUCCUGAGUUUAAUUUUUAAACCAUUUUUUUUGGGCCAAGCCAAGGGCCUACAGAAGCUCUGGGGCCAGGGAGCCAGUCCUUCCCCUGCCGGACCACCAGGGCGCUCGCCAUGGUUAAGUCCUGAACCCAUUCUGAGUGGGUUUUGUGUGUGGGGUGCGUCUGGGGCCCGUGCCGUCCUGUGUGUGGAUGUCUCGUGUCCCCACCAUCAUUUAUUUAUGGAAGGGCUGUCCUGCCCCAGUCGUGUGUUCUGGCACCCUGUCAAGGAUUAACUCACGGCUUCUCAAGACAAUUCUUUCGCCUCAUCCGUCAGGCAAGUCACAGGUGUCUGAUGUGCUUUGGUCCGUUGAUGGGGAUUUAUCCUGUGGCGUUGGCAGUGUCCUAUUUCCCUGAGUCUUCGUGUUUCUCGUUGCUUUGCUCUGGUGUCUGUGGGUUUGCCCAUCAGCCCAUUAGAGAUUCUGGAAGCUCUGAAAGAUUUUCUGUGGACGUGCCAACUCUGCUUUCCUCCCUCCUGGGGAGAAGAUGCCGAGUUGCUUGCCUUGGCCCCUCCCUCAGCCCUGCACCCCAUUUCCCUGAGGGAUGAUGGGGGAGGCUGAGGCAGGGGGCAAGCUCCCUGUUCCACCUACAGACGAGGGCCCCUCCCCUCGUUCUUGCAGGUUGGCUGUGCCCCUGCUGAGAGUCCUGUCCCUUUUCCGAGUUCUUUGCUGCCCCCACGUGUGCCUGGAGCCCCGGCGCUCCCUGUGCUCUGAGUGGAGUGGCAGGCAGGUCUCUCAGGGGACACCUGAAUCCUGGGGGUGUCACCUGCAGCCUCACUCACUGUCCUCAGAGGGAGGGGGAAGCCUGGGCAGAGGGCGGGGGCCUCUCAGUGUGGAGCUGUGCCAGCCUCAGGGAGGGGUGCCAGGGCUAAAGAGAAGCUGCCUUAUUCUCCAUUUCAAAGUGGUUUUUCUUGGGUUUUUGCUUUUCUGCAGUGCUGCAACUCAUCUGGACACUGGAGUUUGCAGGAAAGUUAAAUGGGCCAAAUAUCGUUGUUUUAUCAGCCUCUCUAACCGAAGGGUCUUUAAAAAGACCCUGUGCUGGCCCAGCUGGGCACACAGUCUUUGAGGUAUUCACGCAGGGUUUCCCAAGGGCAGACUCUUCAUUGGAGGGAAAUAAUGCCCCCUGUUCCACUGGAAGUAUGUCUCAUUGUGGUGUUUCUUUUUUUUCUUUUAAAUCAAUUCUUGGGCUGCUCUUGCGGCACAUGGAGGUUCUCAGGCUAGGAGUC